rnacentral:rRNA from 1 species
CCAGACUCCUACGGGAGGCAGCAGUGGGGGAUAUUGCACAAUGGGGGGAACCCUGAUGCAGCGACGCCGCGUGGGUGAAGGAGCGUUUCGGCGCGUAAAGCCCUAUCGGCAGGGAAGAAGGAGGACGGUACCUGACUAAGAAGCCCCGGCUAACUACGUGCCAGCAGCCGCGGUAAUACGUAGGGGGCAAGCGUUAUCCGGAUUUACUGGGUGUAAAGGGAGCGUAGACGGCCAGACAAGUCUGAAGUGAAAAUGCAGCGCUUAACGUUGGAAGUGCUUUGGAAACUGGCGGGCUGGAGUGCAGGAGGGGGAGGCGGAAUUCCUAGGGUAGCGGUGAAAUGCGUAGAUAUUAGGAGGAACACCAGUGGCGAAGGCGGCCUACUGGACGGUGACUGACGCUGAGGCUCGAAAGCGUGGGGAGCAAACAGGAUUAGAUACCCGCGUAA